UACGGGGGGAGCAAGCGUUGUUCGGAUUUACUGGGCGUAAAGGGUGCGUAGGCGGCCGUGCAAGUCUGGCGUGAAAGCCCCGGGCUCAGCCCGGGAAGUGCGCUCGAAACUGCGCGGCUCGAGUGCCGGAGGGGAGAGUGGAAUUCCUGGUGUAGCGGUGAAAUGCGUAGAUAUCAGGAGGAAUACCGGUGGCGAAAGCGACUCUCUGGACGGCAACUGACGCUGAGGCACGAAAGCGUGGGGAGCAAACAGG
rnacentral:rRNA from 1 species